rnacentral:lncRNA from 1 species
UUCCUUUCUUUUUUUCUUUUUUCUCUCAAGCCCUCCUUUAGCCGACCAUGAGGCCAUCGUAGCUCCGCCGCGGCCACUGGUCAUUGGUAACGACGACCGCCACCUCCGGUGGCCAGAAAAUCGAAAAAGUUCCCCCCGAGCCCCUUUUCUUGCGUAGAUUGUGAAUCUGGUGAUAGAUCCUCCGAAAACCUAGUUAAAGUUGGACGGAAAGCCGAGAAACCUUUCGAUUUCUCUUUUUCGAUGUGGCCAUUGACGAACCCUAAGAGGUUUAGAAACCUUUCAGAGCGGAGGAGGGCCUUGCAGUGGCAAUGAACGGGUAAGAUUUAAACUCUUAUUUUAUUUUCUUAUAUUUUUCGAAAUAAAAAGCAAAAAAAAAGAGAGAAGAUGAACAACCUUAGUUUUUUUUCUUAACUUUGUUUUUUUUUAUUUUGUAUUAGAUUUUUUCUCUUUUCCCCUAUUACAUGUGGUUGUUGUGGCUUUUAUAUCCAAAUACAUUACAAAAUAUUCAUUUUUUUGUUUUCUUUUUUGUUGUUUCUUCUGUUUUUGCGUUCUGUCCUUUGCUUCUUUUUUUAAAAUUUUUUUUUACAGGUGUUUGUGCCAAGGUCAACGACACUGCGGAGCUACGCUUUGCCAUUUCAGUGAAAGGAGGGGGCAGACCUCGGGUGGCGUGCCUACUGACAUGGUGAAGGAGCGACGCCAAAGCUUUUAGGGUUCUAGGAUUUUCUUUUUUUGUUUAGGCUUUAGGCUAUUGGGUUGGUGUUUUUGGGCUUCUGUCAAUGGACUUUGUUAUUGUUUUUUGUUGUUUUGUUUAUUGGGCCGAACGAAAUUGGGC